GCAAGGAUGGACGUCGUUCUUAUUUUUCUCGUUUGUUUUCGUCCGUAGUCGGACCCUGGUCUUACUCUUGAUGAUUAUGUAAUGUACUGAUGCGACUCUGAUGUAGCUUGUGGCGAGUGUAAGCCAACUCUGUAUAUAUACCUCUUCCUUUCAGUACAUGUACUUGUAACGGUAUCCAUUCUUGCGACACGACGAGAUGCG
rnacentral:lncRNA from 1 species